UUUUAACCAUUUAUAUUAAAACAUAACAACCUUUAUACACAUCCUAUGUACAUGCCACAUUACCCAAAGGAAAAUAUACAUCACCAAAGUUAUGCUGAAGUCGGGAUUAAUCUGGAUGCUGAACCGGGACCUUUGACUUCUAUCGACCUGCGCACGAAAACAACCGUAUGCUGAGUAUUUCAUACUCAGUGGUAUUACCAUAAUUCAAAUUAUAACAAUAAUAAACAUGUAAUGCAUAAUUCGUAUAUACAAUUUAAAUUCAAUAUUUCAACAAUAGCAAUUCAUCAACCAAUAUCGUAUAUCCACAAUUUGAGUUUGAAUAAAUCAUGAACCUUAGGUUCAUUUCUCAAUCUCAUUUCACAUUUCAAUUCACAAUUCAACUUUUUCAUAUCAUUUCAAUAGCUCGUUUGACCAACUCGUUUGGUUUAUCAUUUUAUCAUUUACCCUAUUAACAAAACUCGGACUUUGGCGGAUACACGGAUCCAACCAAACACACCAGAAUGGCACCCAGUGCCUCAUUGGAUAGUUCGAAGCAAUAGUUGACACCCAGUGUCUCAUCGGCAAAGCCGAAGAAAGUUGGUACCCAGCACCUCAUCGAAUCUAUCCGAAGAAAUAUAGUGACACCCAGUGUCUCAUUGACUCGAGGUCGAAGUAUCCCUGAACUCUUCCAAUCCUAUGGCAUGCCAACUAUAUCCGACUCAGCCCGACUAGUUAAUAGGGUAUUUAAAUCACAUAUAAUCCCAAUUCAAUCACAAUUUCUCACACUUUCAAUUCAAUCAUUUUUCAACCUUUCAAUCAAUAAUUAAUCCGCAAUUCACAUAUUUUCACAACUCAAUACAUUUCCAUUCAAUUUAAUAUCGGUCACUGUUCGAUUUAAAUUCACUUCCCACUUUCAAUCAACAAACAAUUCAAAUAUUAAUUCAUAUCAACUAUUCAAAUUAAUUCCCACUCAUCUUAAUAAUAAUAAUAAAAAUAAUAAUAAUACUAUUACUAAUACUAAUAUUAAUACUUACCUCACAUUUCAUUUACUAAACUCAUAAAUUAAAAUUUAACAUUUAAAAAUAAAUAAUUUGAAUUAUAGUAAUACAAACCGUAAAUCUCCCGCUUUAGUCCUCGAUAGCUUUCCCUUUUCCUUUUGAUGCCGAUGCCUCGGGUUCUUUAUUAGCUACGAAAAUAAUAAUAAUUUAUACUAUUAAUUACAGCACUAAUUAUAAUAAAUAAUUGAAUUUCUAUUCAAUUUCUUCCUAAUUCUCAAUUUAAUCCUAACUAAAUUCACUUACUUCCCUAAUUCAAUUCACACUCUAUUUCUAUUCAAAUUUCAUCCAAACUAAAAUUUAACUAUCAAAAUUUCAGCAUAUUUUGCUAAUUUCGAAUUUCUCUAAAUUUAGUCCUUAAAACAUAAAACUUAUAGCUUGUUUUACAAUUUAAUCCCUUUUUCAAUUCUAACUUAAAAUUCCUUCAAUUUAAUCCCUAAUUCAUCUCUUUUGUUCAACAUAAACUAUUCUUGAAAACCUAUGAACUUACAAAAUAUCAACUUGAUUCCAUCAAAACUUUGUUUUAAAGCUUUUAAAACAUUAGAACUAAGAGAAAAGGGCUAAUUUGACUUACCAAAUUAACUCCAAGCUUUAAAAAUCUAUUUUCCCCUUUUUUCUUUCUUUUUUCUUCUUUCUUCCCCUGUUUCGUUUGCUUCUCUGUUUCUUUGUUCUUUCUAUUCUGUUUCUUU
rnacentral:lncRNA from 1 species